rnacentral:rRNA from 1 species
UACAGAGGGUGCGAGCGUUGUCCGGAAUCACUGGGCGUAAAGGGCGCGUAGGUGGCUUGGUAAGCGUGUGGUGAAAGUCCGGGGCUCAACCCCGGAUCUGCCGUGCGAACUGCUGAGCUCGAGCAAUGUAGAGGCAGGUGGAAUUUCGGGUGUAGCGGUGGAAUGCGUAGAUAUCCGAAAGAACACCAGUGGCGAAGGCGGCCUGCUGGGCAUUAGCUGACACUGAGGCGCGACAGCGUGGGGAGCAAACAGG